rnacentral:misc_RNA from 1 species
GAGCUUCAAGCAUACUAAAUUUGAUAAUGAAGAUGGAAAGAAACCUACCCACUCUGGAAAUUUGACACCCUCAUAACCAAAUAUGCGAAGAUUUUCCACCUUCUCAUGAGGCCUCAACUCCUCGAGUACGCUUCUUGCGCGUUCUGAAUCCUUGCUUUUACCACUCCAUUGGAACUCCAAUGUCUUAAGGUGCUCCUUAGCCCUCAGAUUGGCUUCCCCAACAUGUUUAGGAUUAGCAUUUUGUAGAUUCUCAAUGCUAA